UUUUUUUUUUUUUUUUUUUAAGUUCUGGACAGGGCAAGCAAGCAGUCUUUUUUGAUAUCCACAGAAUAACUUACUAGGGUCUUGAUUGGAAUGGCAUCGGGUCUAUAAACACUGACAUCUUGACAAUAUUGAAUCUUCCUAUCCAUGAACAUGGGAUAUCUCUCCAUUUAUUUAGUUAUUUGAUUUUCCAGUCUUUUAUCUAUGUCUGAAUUUUGUUGAUUGAAAACACUCUCUAAGUAGGUUUCAGUCCUGCUUUCUCCCUUAAUGUUAUGUCAUAUUAAGCCUCUUUGUAAGCAGAGAUGUUAAUUACUGCUUCAUUUUUCAAUAUGUGGAGACACAAAAAUGUGCCUAACCAUCCACCAUUAUUGUACCUCUAGGUUGUUUUCAGGUUUGUCACUAACUAUAAAAACAAUAAUAAAAACAUGCUUGACUUUUGUUCAUUAAAAUUUCAAAGCAGUUCAGCAAAAAGCUUAGAAAACAGCUCAUGCACACUCAACCAGCCAUCUAUAUUACUGUGCAAUCUGCGCCCACUCAGUGUCAUCGCUGAAACCUACUGUAUGUCAAGCCCUGGGAGAAUCAGAGCACAGGAAGCUCCUAAAAGUAUGGGAUCAGGGCAAGGGUCCAUCUGCCAAUGAUCAACCAGGCUAAGUGUAUGGGGUUGACCACUUCCUUGAGGCAAGAUCUAUGAUUUUUCAAAAACAGCCUCAGAUUGAUUUCUUUGGGGACUUUUAUGAGACUCUAUUCCACUGUUGACACCUUCAGAACUCACUGCUGCUGAAAACCCUAAAACUUUAGAACGAUUCCUUCAUCCUAUUUUCCUGUGAUUUUUUUUUUAAUGAACUUCUUACUGGCUGUAACCUACAUGCAGAAAAGGGCUCCAAUUGUAAAUGUGCUGCUUGAUGAAUCUUCACAGCUGGAAUACUCCAUGUAACUAGCACCUGAUCAGAAAGAGAACACUACCAGCCCCCCAGGGAUUCCAAAAAAAACUCUAGUCGUGUGAUUCUCAAUCAGGGGCAAUGUUGCCUGCAGGGGCAUUUGGCAAUGUCUGCAGACAUUUUUUAUUGUCUUAAUUGAGAGGAAUGCUGCUCGCAUCCAGUGGAUAGAGGCUGAGGAUGCCGCUCAGUAUCCCAUGGUGCACGGGACAGACCCACAGAAAGAAUUGUCUGGCCCCAAAUGUCCAAAGUGCUGAGGUUAGGAAACCCUGUUCAAAUCUACCCUAAUGUCUAACUGCACAGACUAGUUACACUAGUUAGACUAGUUGUGCUAGGCAGGCUGGUUUUCAUUUAAUCCAACAACUGUGCCUCGGUAGGUUUUGUCUUACAGAGUCGACUUCUGAUUCCCAUCAGUUAUUUCCUAUCUUCUUCCCAACUGAGCCCAGAUUCUCAUCAAAUCCUGACUGAUUUAGGGCCAAAGCUCCCCGAUGGCUCCCACCCCUCACUCCAGCCCAGAUGCAGAAUGGUGCCUGACCUAGAACAGACAUUCCAAGGUCAUGAAUGAAUGAAUGGGGGGAUGAAUAAAUGAUGCUACCC
rnacentral:lncRNA from 1 species